GAGAGUUUUUACACUGACAAGUAUACACAGUUUUGUUCCUAGUGUUGCACACUUUCUUUUUGCUUUCCCCUUGGUACACACAUUUUUUAAUUUGUUUGUUUGUUUUUGUUUUGUUCGAUCCGAAAUAUUACUUUUCAUAUUUAGCAGAAUUUCAGGGGGGUGUAUGUAACGGAUAUUAGAUACAAAAGUUGAAAUUCUUGCUAAAAUGUGUUUGGUAAACAUCUUUGUAUAUAUUUUAUAACUGCCUUGGGAUGAGUGGUGUUUGGCGCCCCCUACUGGUUGCCUAUAAAUAAGAGGGGAAACCGGAAAUUCCACACAGACGGUUUUGCACUCUUAUGUGUGCACAGAGAACAGGUGGACUAGUAGGGGAGGCUGACGGGAUGUUUUUGUCGACCACUCAUUGCAGGUUGUAAAAUAAACCACUUACAAUCCAACCCACUGUCCACGCGAGUCUGUAUGACAG